rnacentral:rRNA from 1 species
GACGGAAAGACCCCGUGAACCUUUACUAUAGCUUGACACUGAACAUUGAGCCUUGAUGUGUAGGAUAGGUGGGAGGCUUUGAAGUGUGGACGCCAGUCUGCAUGGAGCCGGCCUUGAAAUACCACCCUUUAAUGUUUGAUGUUCUAACGUGGACCCGUGAUCCGGGUUGCGGACAGUGUCUGGUGGGUAGUUUGACUGGGGCGGUCUCCUCCUAAAGAGUAACGGAGGAGCACGAAGGUUGGCUAAUCCUGGUCGGACAUCAGGAGGUUAGUGCAAUGGCAUAAGCCAGCUUGACUGCGAGCGUGACGGCGCGAGCAGGUGCGAAAGCAGGUCAUAGUGAUCCGGUGGUUCUGAAUGGAAGGGCCAUCGCUCAACGGAUAAAAGGUACUCCGGGGAUAACAGGCUGAUACCGCCCAAGAGUUCAUAUCGACGGCGGUGUUUGGCACCUCGAUGUCGGCUCAUCACAUCCUGGGGCUGAAGUAGGUCCCAAGGGUAUGGCUGUUCGCCAUUUAAAGUGGUACGCGAGCUGGGUUUAGAACGUCGUGAGACAGUUCGGUCCCUAUCUGCCGUGGGCGCUGGAGAACUGAGGGGGGCUGCUCCUAGUACGAGAGGACCGGAGUGGACGCAUCACUGGUGUUCGGGUUGUCAUGCCAAUGGCACUGCCCGGUAGCUAAAUGCGGAAGAGAUAAGUGCUGAAAGCAUCUAAGCACGAAACUUGCCCCGA